rnacentral:rRNA from 1 species
CCCAGACUCCUACGGGAGGCAGCAGUGGGGAAUAUUGGGCAAUGGGCGCAAGCCUGACCCAGCAACGCCGCGUGAAGGAAGAAGGCUUUCGGGUUGUAAACUUCUUUUCUCAGGGACGAAUAGAUGACGGUACCUGUCGAAUAAGCCACGGCUAACUACGUGCCAGCAGCCGCGGUAAUACGUAGGUGGCAAGCGUUGUCCGGAUUUACUGGGUGUAAAGGGCGUGUAGCCGGGUUGACAAGUCAGAUGUGAAAUCCGGCGGCUUAACCGCAGAACUGCAUUUGAAACUGUUGAUCUUGAGUACUGGAGAGGCAGACGGAAUUCCUAGUGUAGCGGUGAAAUGCGUAGAUAUUAGGAGGAACACCAGUGGCGAAGGCGGUCUGCUGGACAGCAACUGACGGUGAGGCGCGAAAGCGUGGGGAGCAAACAGGAUUAGAUACCCCAGUA